CCUACGGGGGGCAGCAGUGGGGAAUAUUGGACAAUGGGCGAAAGCCUGAUCCAGCCAUGCCGCGUGUGUGAAGAAGGCCUUCGGGUUGUAAAGCACUUUCAGUGGGGAAGAAAGCCUUGGGGCUAAUACCCUCGAGGAAGGACAUCACCCACAGAAGAAGCACCGGCUAACUCCGUGCCAGCAGCCGCGGUAAUACGGAGGGUGCGAGCGUUAAUCGGAAUUACAGGGCGUAAAGCGCGCGUAGGCGGUCUGAUAAGCCGGUUGUGAAAGCCCCGGGCUCAACCUGGGAACGGCAUCCGGAACUGUCAGGCUAGAGUGCAGGAGAGGAAGGUAGAAUUCCCGGUGUAGCGGUGAAAUGCGUAGAGAUCGGGAGGAAUACCAGUGGCGAAGGCGGCCUUCUGGACUGACACUGACGCUGAGGUGCGAAAGCGUGGGUAGCAAACAGGAUUAGAUACCCCAGUAGUC
rnacentral:rRNA from 1 species